CUCUCCCUCCCUCGCCAGGCGUUCUGCGAAGGCGAGAAAGAUUUCUCUUGGAACCGAGAAUUCAGAAAUAGAGCCAGCACCAGGCAAGAGAAGCGACAGUCUUACAUUCGUAGCUGGAAAGCGCAGCUCCGCGGGGAGGGAUGUUCGCAGCGAGCCCCGCGGCAGCCGCAAGCGGGCUGCAGGGGGACGGGAGCUGCCGGCUCUCGGCUCGGGGAGAGGUCGCAGCGAAGGGAGGGGGUGAGGUGACCUCCACCCCGCAGCCCCGACGAGAGGCGUUGGGUGAUGGGUGCGUGGAGAGCUAUUGUGCAACGCUCAGCUCAGCGCCUGCCUCCCUCCCCGGGGCUGCGCACUGCUUCCCCUGCCCGCUUUCUGACACGAAAGGAGGAAAAAAAAAAAAUAGAAAAGAAAAGAAAAAAAAAAAAAGAUGACGAGGGUGAGGACUGUCAGUUCUG
rnacentral:lncRNA from 1 species